AUAUGUACUUGGCAAGGGAGGUGCCAUAAUCAUGAAGAUGGACUUCCUGGGAUGAGGCUCGUGUUCUGACCCCUGCAGUUUCCCCAAAUGCUGUUGACUUGACGGCAGAAUCUGUGGCAGUGGUAAACUGCACUUGCACUUCCCCU